AGAGUUUGAUCCUGGCUCAGAUUGAACGCUGGCGGCAGGCCUAACACAUGCAAGUCGAGCGGUAGAGAGAAGCUUGCUUCUCUUGAGAGCGGCGGACGGGUGAGUAAUGCCUAGGAAUCUGCCUAGUGGUGGGGGAUAACGUUCGGAAACGGACGCUAAUACCGCAUACGUCCUACGGGAGAAAGCGGGGGACCUUCGGGCCUCGCGCCAUUAGAUGAGCCUAGGUCGGAUUAGCUAGUUGGUGAGGUAAAGGCUCACCAAGGCGACGAUCCGUAACUGGUCUGAGAGGAUGAUCAGUCACACUGGAACUGAGACACGGUCCAGACUCCUACGGGAGGCAGCAGUGGGGAAUAUUGGACAAUGG
rnacentral:rRNA from 1 species